rnacentral:lncRNA from 13 species
UUAUUUCAGUUUACAAAAUUAUUUUUCCAAAUGUAGUUUUUAUUUUAGUUUCAGUUUUCGUUUACUAUAAUAACCUUAAAGUGGGGUGUGGCCAGUUUCUGUCAUGGACAGUGUUUGUGUCCAUAGAAACAGAUGUGGGUGUGGCCAGUUUGUGUCAUGGACAGUGCUUGUGUCCAUAAAAACAGACGUGGGUGUGGCCAGUUUGUGUCAUGGACAGUGCUUGUACCCAUAGAAACAUACCUAGUCUAUGUAUGAACGUUUACAAUGUAGGUGCACGGGUAAAGAUACAUUUUGGAGAAUCAAGGUGACAGACAUUGACACAUUCAAUACCGCCUUGCACACUCUGGCCUGCAUCUAGCUGAUCUAGGGUGUAAUCAUUAGUCCAACAGUUGCAAACGAAAGUUUCUAUUUUAAUAAAUGUAGGUAUGUUUAUCCACGUUUCGUUCAGUUUGCUUCUUAUUUAAGAAACAUUUUUCAAUAGGAACUGUGGAAUGAAUACACCCCCAAUCACACACAAACAGAGUUGACUUUCAAAGCAGCCACAAAUAAACAGCAUGAUCACUUGUAUCGCUCUACACACUCUCCUCUUCUCACCUUUUCCCUUCGCUUGUGAACUUCAGUGGAGAACACAUUAGCUGUCUGUGACCAGGCUAAAAACUGUGGCAGAGCUUGUAAACUAUUACGGACUACAAAGGGAAGCCCAGCCGCGAUCUGCCCAGUGAUGUGAGCCUACCAGACAAGCUAAAUUACUUCUAUGAGGGCUUCGAGGCAAGCAACACUGAAGCAUGCAUGAGAGCACCAGCUGUUCUGGAACAAUCACACUCUAGCCGAUGUGAGUAAGACCUUUAAACAGGUCAAAAUUCACAAGGCCGCAGUGCCGGACUGAUUACCAGGACGUAUACUCAGAUCAUGUGCUGACCAACUGGCAAGUGUUUUCACAAUAAUUUUCUAUCUGUCCCUGACCAAGUCUGUAAUGUUGCACAGAUUAAUUUUAACAAGGCACACGUGUUAAUUGAAAUACUUGAUGAAUACCUGCUCCAGAGGGCUCAAGACCGGAUUCAAAAUGGUCAGUAAUCUGUUUGUCAACUUGGCUUUCGAAGACCUUAGAAAGGCAGAGUAGAAUAGAU